rnacentral:rRNA from 1 species
CACGUAGGGGGCGAGCGUUGUCCGGAUUUAUUGGGCGUAAAGAGCUCGUAGGCGGCUCGGUAAGUGAGGUGUGAAAACUCCAGGCUCAACCUGGAGACGCCACCUCAUACUGCCGUGGCUAGAGUCCGGUAGGGGAGCAUGGAAUUCCUGGUGUAGCGGUGAAAUGCGCAGAUAUCAGGAGGAACACCAGUGGCGAAGGCGGUGCUCUGGGCCGGAACUGACGCUGAAACACGAAAGCGUGGGUAGCAAACAGG